CACGUGGAUAACCUUCCUUCAGGUGGGGAAUAACCCAGUGAAAAUUGGGCUAAUACCGCAUAACAUUUCGGGGGCACAUGCUUCUGAAUUCAAAGGCGCAAGUCGCCAGAAGAGGGAUCCGCGGCCGAUUAGCUAGUUGGCGGUGUAACGGACCACCAAGGCAAAGAUCGGUAGCUGGACUGAGAGGUUGGCCAGCCACACUGGAACUGAGACACGGGUCCAGACUCCUACGGGAGGCAGCAGUGGGGAAUCUUGCACAAUGGGCGAAAGCCUGAUGCAGCAACGCCGCGUGGGGGAUGA
rnacentral:rRNA from 1 species